UACAGGGGUUGGACAAUGAAACUGAAACACCUGUCAUUUUAGUGUGGGAGGUUUCAUGGCUAAAUUGGAGCAGUCUGGUGUUCAAUCUUCAUUAAUUGCACAUUAUUGCACCAGUAAGAGCAGAGUGUGAAGGUUCAAUUAGCAGGGUAAGAGCACAGUUCUGUUCUAAAUAUUGCAAUGCACACAACAUUAUGGGGGACAU